AAGCCUAUGACGGGUAACCGGUCUGAGAUGAUGUCCGGUCGCGAUGGGACUGAGAUACGGCCCAUACUCCUACGGGAGGCAGCAGUGGGGAAUCUUGCACAAUGGACGAAAGUCUGAUGCAGCAAUUUCGCGUGAAGGAUGAAGCAUUACGGUGUGUAAACUUCUUUUUUGGCAGAAGACGAAUGACGGUAUGUCAAGAAUAAGAGACGGCUAACUACGUGCCAGCAGCCGCGGUAAUACGUAGGUCUCAAGCGUUAUCCGGAUUUACUGGGCGUAAAGUGUCCGUAGUCUGAAUUGUAAGUCUGUUUUCAAAUCCUACGACUCAAUCGUAGAAAGGGAAUGGAUACUGCAAUUCUGGAAGUAUCUAGGGGUUAGUGGAAUUUCCGGUGGAGCGGUGAAAUGCGUUGAUAUCGGAAGGAACGCCGAAAGCGAAAGCAGCUAACUAUAGAAUACUUGACGAUGAGGGACGACAGUUUGGGGAGCAAACAGGAUUAGAUACCCUGGUAGUCCAAACCGUAAAUUAUGCUUGCUAGAUGUUUUUAUCAAUUUAUUGGUAGGAGUGUCGUAAUCUAACGAGUUAAGCAAGCCGCCUGGGUAGUAUAUUCGCAAGAAUGAAACUCAAAGGGAUAGGCGGGGGAACACACAAGCAGUGGAUUAUCUAGAUUAAUUGGAUAAUAAGCCAAGAAUCUUACCUAGGAUUGACAUGUAUUGUGUCUGCGGUGAAAGUCGCAUAUCCGUAGCAAUACGGAGCUUUACACAGGUGGUGCAUGGUCGUCGUCAGCUCGUGCCGCAAGGUGUCUAGUUAAGUCUGGAAACGAGCGCAACCCUC
rnacentral:rRNA from 1 species